rnacentral:rRNA from 1 species
AACGCGAAGAACCUUACCUAAGCUUGACAUCUUCUGGACCGAUGCCUAAUCGCAUCUUUCCCUUCGGGGACUAGAAUGACAGGUGGUGCAUGGUUGUCGUCAGCUCGUGUCGUGAGAUGUUGGGUUAAGUCCCGCAACGAGCGCAACCCUUGCCUUUAGUUGCCAGCAUUAAGUUGGGCACUCUAGCGAGACCGCCGGUGAUAAACCGGAGGAAGGUGUGGAUGACGUCAAGUCAUCAUGCCCCUUACAUCCUGGGCUACACACGUACUACAAUGCUACGGACAAAGGGCAGCAAACUCGCGAGAGCUAGCAAAUCCCAUAAACCGUGGCUCAGUUCAGAUCGUAGGCUGCAACUCGCCUACGUGAAGGAGGAAUCGCUAGUAAUCGCAGGUCAGCAUACUGCGGUGAAUACGUUCCCGGGUCUUGUACACACCG